UGAUAAUGAUGUUAUUGUAGGUGCUUCAGUGGACGUCAAGGUCCGAGGGAAGAGGCAGCUGAAGCUCUCGAGUCGAGGCGAGACGUAUGAAAUGAACUCCCCCAACCUUUUGAUAAGAUUUCUUCCGCUGCCCGGAGCUGAUUGGGCUGGAAAUGUUGGAGUCGGGUGCAAAGAAACCGAGUUCGAAGCCGAGUUACAAUACGGACCCAAGUCUUUUCUUGGCCUUAGACGAAGCCACAGAUCACUUAAAGGAAAGAUCUUUGAAACAUCAACAAAGAGGAUCCUUUUCGAACUUGAUGGCCAUUGGGAUAGAACAGUGACAGUAAAGGACAAUAAUAGCGGGGAGUUGAGGGUUAUAUACAAUGCAGAAGAAGUGUAUUCAGAGCUGUGAACUUCUGUAGUUAAAGAUCUGCAGCGGGUGGAAUCGACCGAAUCAGCAGCCGUGUGGAGCAAUGUAAGUGAGGCCAUAAUGAGUCGGAAUUGGUAGAAAGUGAAAGAAGCGAAGAAUGCAGUCAAGGAAAACCAGAGGGAGGCGUCGAGAGGAAUGGAGUCCAAAGGAAAAACUUGGGUUCCCCAGCAUUUCAGUUUGAGUUAUAGCAAAGUGUCUGGGAGUGUUCACCUACUCAACAAUGGGUUCCACCUGCUCCUAUUGUUGUUCCUCUUAUGUAACCUUAUUUAAGAAAACAUUCAACACAACCUUAAGUAGUUUAU